CUACGGGACGCAGCAGUGGGGAAUAUUGCACAAUGGGGGAAACCCUGAUGCAGCAACGCCGCGUGGAGGAAGACGCAUUUCGGUGUGUAAACUCCUUUUCUAAUAGAAGAAGUUGACGGUCUAUUAGGAAUAAGCACCGGCUAACUCCGUGCCAGCAGCCGCGGUAAUACGGAGGGUGCAAGCGUUACUCGGAAUCACUGGGCGUAAAGGGUGCGUAGGCUGUUUGAUAAGUCAGGGGUGAAAUCCCACGGCUCAACCGUGGAACUGCUCUUGAAACUAUUAGACUAGAGUGAGGGAGAGGUAGAUGGAAUUAGUGGUGUAGGGGUAAAAUCCGUAGAGAUCACUAGGAAUACCGAAAGCGAAGGCGAUCUACUGGAGCUUAACUGACGCUGAGGCACGAAAGUGUGGGGAGCAAACAGGAUUAGAUACCCCCGUAGUC
rnacentral:rRNA from 1 species